AAGCCUUAAUCGCGUUGGCUGCGAUUCAUCCGAUGAGAUGUACACGUCCACAUCUGUGCCGGCCGUCUAGACUCCCCUUAUAGUCACUGGAAAGAAAUAGGCACUUCCAGGGCGUGAUUCAUCUCAUCCUAAAGUAAAUGCCUAAAUUAGGUCAGAUGAAUUGUACCCUAAGAGUACGUUUCUCUCCAGUCUCUGAAGGGAGCUGAGCUGCGCCAUCCGUGGCAGAUGUUCACACCAGAUAUUUACAGUACGCUGAGAUAAUUCCCACCCUCUGUGUCACGUUGCUGAUAUUGGAAGAUCUCGAGAAAAUAAUCACAUGUGUAAGACUACGUCCCCGUUUCCAGUGCGGAUCCGCGCUGGCGAUAGACUGUGUAUGCUGUAGCUGGUCCCGUAUCAGAAGAUUGUGAACGGACUUUAAAAUCGGGAGAUGUAUUUUAUUUUUUUCUUAAAUGAAGGAUGGCUUGGGG